AGACGAGGAUAACAGUUGGAAACAGUGGCUAAGACUGGAUAGGAAGAAAUAAGGCAUCUUUUUUCUCUUAAAAGACCUAGUGAUAGGUAUACUUUAGGAGGGGCUUGCGCCAUAUUAGUUAGUUGGUAGGGUAAUGGCCUACCAAGACGAUGAUGUGUAGCUGGACUGAGAGGUUGAACAGCCACAUUGGGACUGAGACACGGCCCAAACUCCUACGGGAGGCAGCAGUAGGGAAUUUUCGGCAAUGGAGGGAACUCUGACCGAGCAACGCCGCGUGAACGACGAAGUACUUUGGAAUGUAAAGUUCUUUUAUCAAGGAAGAAAAGCAAGUGGUGAACCAUUUGUUUGCCGGUACUUGAUGAAUAAGCCCCGGCUAAUUAUGUGCCAGCAGCCGCGGUAAGACAUAAGGGGCAAGUGUUAUCCGGAAUCAUUGGGCGUAAAGGGUGCGUAGGCGGUCUAGUAAGUCAGUGGUGUAAUGGCAACGCUCAACGUUGUCCGGCCAUUGAAACUGCUAAACUUGAGUUAGAUAGAGGCGAGUGGAAUUCCAUGUGUAGCGGUAAAAUGCGUAAAUAUAUGGAGGAACACCAGAGGCGUAGGCGGCUCGCUGGGUCUUAACUGACGCUGAGGCACGAAAGCGUGGGGAGCAAACAGGAUUAGAUACCCUGGUAGUCCACGCCGUAAACGAUGAGUACUAAGUGUCGGGUUAAACCGGUACUGAAGUUAACACAUUAAGUACUCCGCCUGAGUAGUACGUACGCAAGUAUGAAACUUAAAGGAAUUGACGGGACUCCGCACAAGCGGUGGAUCAUGUUGUUUAACUCGAAGAUACCCGAAAAACCUUACCAGGUCUUGACAUGUUUUUGCGAAACGGUAGUAAUAUCGUGGAGGUUAUCAGAAACACAGGUGGUGCAUGGUUGUCGUCAGCUCGUGUCGUGAGAUGUUAGGUUAAGUCCUAAAACGAGCGAAACCCUUAUCGUUAGUUGCCAGCACGUUAUGGUGGGGACUUUAACGAGACUGCCAGUGGUAAAUUGGAGGAAGGUGAGGAUCACGUCAAAUCAGCAUGCCCCUUAUGACCUGGGCUACAAACGUGAUACAAUGGCUGUUACAAAGGGUAGCUGAAACGCAAGUUCUUGGCCAAUCCCCAAAAACAGUCUCAGUCCGGAUUGAAGUCUGCAACUCGACUUCAUGAAGUUGGAAUCGCUAGUAAUCGCGAAUCAGCAUGUCGCGGUGAAUACGUUCUCGGGGUUUGUACACACCGCCCGUCAAACCACGAAAGUUGGCAAUACCCCAAAACGGUAGCCUAACUCGUUUAUCGAGAGGGCGCUGUCUAAGGUAGGGUCGAUGAUUGGGGUUAAGUCGUAACAAGGUAUCCCUACCGGAAGGUGGGGAUGGAUCACCUCCUUUCU
rnacentral:rRNA from 1 species